GACGUAGGGCGCGAGCGUUGUCCGGAUUUAUUGGGCGUAAAAGAGCUCGUAGGCGGCUUGUCGCGUCGGCUGUGAAAACCCGCGGCUCAACUGUGGGCGGGCAGCUGAUACGGGCAGGCUGGAGUUCGGUAGGGGGAGACUGGAAUUCCUGGUGUAGCGGUGAAAAUGCGUAGAGAUGUGGAGGAACACCAGUGGCGAAGGCGACUCUUUGGCCUGUAACUGACACUGAGGCGCGAAAAGCGUGGGGGAGGCAAAACAGGGAUUUAGAAAACC
rnacentral:rRNA from 1 species